UACCUCUUUGGGCCCUCAGUUUACCC
rnacentral:piRNA from 1 species